rnacentral:lncRNA from 1 species
AAAAAAAUCAAAAUUAGUGACUGAUUUUUUUAUAAAUUAAACAAAUUGGUCGCAAAUCGGUUGCUAUAAUCAGUCGUUGGUAUCAGUCACUAAAUCAGUUUCUACAGCGUCGGACAAUGCAUUGCAUAGAGCGUCGCAAACUCAGUAUCUAAGCUAGUCGCUAAAAAAUCGGUUGCUAAUUCAGUCGCUAAAAAUCGGUAGCUGAGUUGGUCACAACAGAGUAACGACCACAAUUGUUGAUGCUGAUUUUAGACGGUCGCAAAAUUGGCCGCUAAACACGAGAUUUCUAGUAGUGGGCCAACAAUGAUGGCUUUUUUCUUAACUUUGUGUCUUCUCGUGGUGUGAUUUUCCGCGAUAGCUCUAGUGCUUAUUUGGGGAGCUUCUGUUGCAAACAGAAUUUCUCAUCGGUUUUAUAUGUUGAACGCACAACUAUUAUUUUGGUGAUUGAAAAUGCUUUUGAUAGAUGUUGGCUCAUGGCUUGAAUGGAGAAUAAUUCUCAGGUUGCUAUUCAAGCUAGUAAGAAUAUUGACAUUGUUCCUUGGGACAUCUAGAAUAAAUGGAAAAAUUGUUUCUCUUUCCGUAUGCAGGUGAUAUAUUCUCAUAUCUUUAGAGAAGGUCAUAUGUAUGCUGACAAAAAGGCGAAUCAUGGUCAUCAAUUAUCAAUUUUCUUUGGUGGGAUUCCUUGCCUCCUUUUGUUUUGGAGUAGACGUGGGUUACCUAUUCUUAGGUCGUCUUCUGUUGCAAACUGAAUUUCUCAUUAGUUUUAUAUGUUGAACGCACGACUAUUAUUUUGGUGAUUGACAACGCUUUUGAUAGAGGUUGGCUCAUGGUUUGGAUGGACAGUGAUUCUGAGGUUGCUAUUCAAGCUAGUAAGAAUAAUGACAUUGUUCCUUGGAACAUCCAGAAUAAAUGGAAAAAUUGUUUCUCUUUUCGUAUGUAGGUGAUAUAUUCUCGUAUAUCUUCAGAGAAGGUAAUAUGUAUGCUGACAAAUAGGCGAAUCACGGUCAUCAAAUUAUCAACUUUCUUUGGUGGGAUUCCUUGCCUCCUUUUGCUUUGUAGUAGACGUGGAUUACCUAUUCUUAGGUCGUCUUAAUUUAUUUUCAUUUUCUUCUGCUCUCUAUCUUCUUCUUUUUUACCGUUG